AGGGUGGGGGUGCCCCUCCCUGCCUUCCCUUGUCACACCCUGCUCCCCGCAUAACCUGGCUGAACAGGUCUCACCUAGGAAGUUCUGGUAACAGUUACGGGUCUGGUUCUGGUUGGGGAAGCGCGGGUCGAAGGGCGGCGUCGACCAUUUCCCCUUGGGGGGCUCCUGGGCUUCCACAUCCAACAUCCACGAAGGAGGCAACUGCUGCGGGACGGGACGGGGACUCCGUGGGGCCGAGGGGGUGCCCUCGCUCCCACCCGUCCCCCCAUCCUGACCCCCGCCACUGAACCCCACCCGUCGUGCCCUCACCAGCCUGACGUUGGCGGCCACUGAAUCUGCUGUGGGAUGGUCCCCGGGUGCCGCUCGCUUCUGAGUCCGCGGGGUGCGGUCCCACCCGGCUCAGGAGAAACGCAGCCCGCGGCCGGAUUGGCUAGGACGCCCGAGCCCCAGCCAAUGGGAGCCGUCGUGCACCGCGGGGCUGGUAGGGGCGCCCCCACCCCACCCCUUGCUCCCCCGACGCCCCCUCGGGGGCCUGCGCGCGCACACAGGCACCGAGGUGCGACUCGCCGAGUCUCAGGGUGCCCACUCUUGCCCCCUCUACAUCCUCCACGCCCCAGCCAGAGGCAGCCUCUUCACACAUAAAUCAGUCUCCAACAUUCUUCUGCUCCAAACCCUCCAGCUUGCUCAGAGUCAAAGCCAAAGUCCCGAAAAUUGUCUGCCAAGUCCUCCAUGAUGGGUGCCCCCCCUGCUGCGCCUCUGACUGCAUUUCCCACCCCGGCAUCCCCGUGGUCCAGCACAUGACAAACACUCCUGCCUCGGGGACUGCAGUGGCUGUUCCUUCCGCUGGGAUGCUUUCCCCCCAGAUGUCCUCAUGGCUUCCUCCGUCCUCUCCUCCAGGUCUUCACACAAACAACCCCAGCUCAAUGAGGGCUCCCUAGACCACCUGGGCUGUGGUGGGGGCUGUCCUGUGCACUGUGGGAUGCUGAGCAGCGUCCCUGAUCUCUACCUGCUCGAAGCCAGGAGCACAUCCCACCACCACCAGCCCCACGGUCGGACACUGUAUCCCCACUGCCUAGAACAAUGCCUGGCACAGAGUCGGCGCUCACUAUAUAUCAGAGUGAAAGGGGGCCGGGCGUGGUGGCUCACACCUGUAAUCCCAGCACUUUGGGAGGCCGAGGCGGGCAGAUCACUUGAGGUCAGGAGUUCAAGACCAGCCUGGCCAACAUGGUGAAACCCUGUUUCUACUAAAAAUACAAAAAAUUAGCUGGGCAUGGUGGCACACGCCUGUAAUCCCAGCCACUCAGGAUGCUGAGGCAGGAGAAUUGCUUGAACCCAGGAGGCGGAGGUUGCAGUGAGCCAAGAUCAUACCACCACACUCCAGCCUGGGUGACAGAGUGAGACCCUGUCAAAAAAAAAAAAAGUGAAAGGAAAGAAUGAUCAACUUUAUCUCCUAAACAGCAGAGCCCACAGUAAAUGCUAGCUGCUAACCCCCACUACCUGGGCGGAAGGUUAAAGACGCCCGAUUCCUCCUGUAUUUCCUCUGCUUUGGUGGCCGUGUUCCUCACAGUUUCAAGUUCUAAGAGCAUGGGCAAAAGAAUUUCUGAAGACGACCCCACAGUGGCCAGGGGUUGCUGGGCUGGCAUCCUCACAGGCUCCUGCGACACUCUCUUGGGCUGCUGGGACGCCCUGGCUGUGGCCUCCAUCUUUGAGAUGGGGGUCUCCGAGAGGGGCGAUGGCAGUGUACGACUCUGGCUGCUCUCUGACCACCACUGGCCUCCCCUCCAGUGAGGACAGCUGGCCUGGGCGGGAGGGCAUGGAAGCUAUCAUUGAAGUGGCAGACGCCUGCGAAGUCGCCAACAGCCAGGAGGGAAGUGAGACCAAAGCGGGUUUCGAGCGCUGCUCUUUGGAGUUGGCCAUGAUCGUGAGCUUGGCGAGGGUGAGCGCUUCCACAGAGAAGGGCCUGCUGUGCUCCCGGGAGGGGCCCUCGACGGCCAGCUCCUUCGUCUUGACCCAUCUCUUCCGCUGCUGCAACUCCUUGGAUCUCACACCAGGCAGGUCCAGGGACCUCUCUUCAAGCUUCGCCCAGUGGGCCCAGUCCUCCAACUUCCCCUGGCCCCUGAAGGCCUCCAGGGUCACCUCCUCGGUUUGGCUAAUCAGGAUGUCCUUGGACUCCUUCUUGGUCACGCUGAAGGGCGACUCCGGGGACUUAGCCUGAGUUGUCAUCUCCACCACGUCUGUCUCCUGGGUGUGCACGGUCACCGCCGGCUCCAGUUUCCCUCCAGACUGGCUUCUCUCCAGCACGGCUCUUCCAGGAAUUCCUGUUGGCAACACGUCAAAAUUGCCAGGGAGCUUCCCCCGUGAGGCAGGCGGGCCCAGCGCCAUCUGGUAUUGGGUAUGCCUGGGGCCUUCCGGGAUGGAGCUGAUGCAGCUGAGGCCUUCCGGGAUGGAGCAGGUACAGCUGGGGCCUUCCGGGAUGGAGCAGGUACGGCUGGGGCCUUCCGGGAUGGAGCAGGUACGGCUGGGGCCUUCCGGGAUGGAGCAGGUAUGGCUGGGGCCUUCCGGGAUGGAGCAGGUAUGGCUGGGGCCUUCUGGGAUGGAGCAGGUAUGGCUGGGGUCUUCUGGGAUGGAGCAGGUACAGCUGGGAGCUUCUGGGACUGGUCAACGAGGAAUGGUGCCUUACAAGAUGUGACAGGGCCAGAUGGGGCCUUCUGGCAGGGUGGUGGCCCCGGCCCCUGGUGGGAGCCCAUAGGCCCGGCCUUUUCCCUGCCCCUGGGGAUGGAAGAGUAGGGUGUGGAGAGGCAGGCAGCUGGGGGAUAGGGAGCCAGGCCGGAGGCAGCAGACGACAAAGUGCUGCCCUCAGAGUCCACAAGGUCUUCCAUGUCCUGAUGCCACAGGCAUGGGUCCAGGGAGCUGCAGGAGCCCAGGAAGAAGCAAUCAGGGCUGUCAGCUGAGACAUAGUGUGACGGGCUCUCAACCACAUGUCCCUGGCCUGUGGCCUCAUCAGAUGCAGAUGUGCAGGCCUGUUUCUUCCUGACGUCGGCAUGCUCCAGCUGUGACCAGAUGAGGGACACGGAGUCGCCCACAGCCUGAGACCUGAAACUGCGCUUGAGCGCCUGGAGUGGCCACCGUCUUAUAAGGAAAGUUGUGCUCAGCAGCCCUGACUGGGAAGAGAGGAGACAUCCUGGGUCACGGACCCCAGGGGAGGGCACGAGGACCUACCCCAGGAGCUUGUGGAGGGCCCCACCAAGGAAGGGGGAAGAGCCAAAGGGUGCAGCUCUGUCCCUGCGAGGGGGAGAACCCAGAGGUCCUGAAGAACAGCAGGGCCUGCUCACCUGCAUGUCUGCUGAUGGGCUGGUCCUGCAGAGAUAGAGGGAGGCAGGAGGGGCCCGGGCUUCCACAUCUCCAUCACCUACCCAGUCAGAGGCCUAGGCCCCCUCCUGCUCCCAGGACCUGACGAUCCAGCUCCUCCUCCCUCAGACCCAGGAGUCCAGGCCCCCAGCCCCUCCUCCCUCAGACCCAGGAGUCCAGAGCCCCAGCCUCUCCUCCCUUGACUCAGGGGUCCAGGCCUCAGUCCCUCCUCCCUCAGACCCAGGAGUCCCCCAGCCCCUCCUCCCUCAGACCCAGGAGUCCCCCAGCCCCUCCUCCCUCAGACCCAGGAGUUCAGACUGCCAGCCCUCUACCCUCAGACCCAGAAGUCCAGGGCCCCUAGCUCCUUCUCCCUCAGACCCAGGAGUCCAGAUCCCCAGCCCCUCCUCCCUCAGACCCAGGAGUCCAAGGCCCCAGGCCUUCCUCCCUCGACUCAGGGGUCCAGGCCCCCAGCCCCUCCUCCCUCGACUCAGGAGUCCAGGCCCCAGCCCCUCCUCCCUCAGACCCAGGAGUCCAGGCCCCCAGCCUCUCCUCCCUCAGACCCUGGAGCCCAGGCCCCCAGCUCCUCCUCCCUCAGACCCAGGAGUCCAGGCCCCCAGCCCCUCCUCCCUCGGACCCAGGAGUCCAGGCCCUCAGCUCCUCCUCCCUCAGACCCGGGAGUCCAGGCCCCCAGCUCCUCCUCCCUCGACUCAGGGGUCCAGGCCCCCAGCUCCUCCUCCCUCAGACCCGGGAGUCCAGGCCCCCAGCUCCUCCUCCCUCGACUCAGGGGUCCAGGCCCCCACCUCCUCCUCCCUCGACUCAGGGGUCCAGGCCCCCAGCCCCUCCUCCCUCGACUCAGGAGUCCAGGCCCCCAGCUCCUCCUCCCUCAGACCCAGGAGUCCAGGCCCCCAGCUCCUCCUCCCUCAGACCCAGGAGUCCAGGCCCCCAGCUCCUCCUCCCUCAGACCCAGGGGUCCAGGCCCCCAGCUCCUCCUCCCUCAACUCAGGGGUCCAGGCCCCCAGCUCCUCCUCCCUCGACUCAGGGGUCCAGGCCCCCAGCUCCUCCUCCCUCGACUCAGGGGUCCAGGCCCCCAGCUCCUCCUCCCUCGACUCAGGGGUCCAGGACCCCGGCCUAGACUUUGGGCUCUUGGUCCCAGUCCCCUCUGGAUCUGGCCGGAGGGUUCCCGGGACCUGCCAUGCCCUGGUCUGUGGAGCUGGCAUCCCACCUGCAGGUGCCAGGUGGAGGCAGGCGCUUCGGCCAGCGGCACAUCCAGGGGGGCCGUGCGCAUGGUCCUGGGGGUCCAGGUGGCAGCUGGCUCCUCAAGCAGGUUGAUGAGGCGGACCCAGCAGUGGAACAGGAAGCCCACCUCCUUGUCGGGGGCAUCCAGGGCCAGGUAGUACUGACGGCCCGAGACCAGGCGCAGCUUCAGGCGCCAGGCAGAGAGGUCAUGGACGCAGAGGUGGACGAGGUCCAGGGGGAGCAUCCUGGGAGAGGGGGAGGGGAGCGUCUAGAGCAGGAGGGGUGGAGGGGGCGGCCGAGGGGUUGGGGGAUGCGGCACCUGGUCAGCACGAGGCCUGAGCAGUCCCUGUCCUCGGCGGGCUGGCCGAUCAGCAAGAUGUCAGGCAACACCAGGCCUGGCAGGGAGGCGGCCACGCCCAUGGCCAGCCGGUUGGUUCUGUGAUUCACGAACACCGGGCCCCCUUGAUGGGUCACCUG